CCCAGCCCCAGAAGGUCCUGCCCGUCAGAGAUGAAAAAGUCAAGAUAGACCGGGCACAGUGGCUCCUGUGUGUAAUUCCAGAGCUCUGGGAGGUCAAGGCAGGCAGAGAUCACUUGAGCCCAGGAGUUCAAGACCAGCCUGGGCAACAUGGCGAAAUCCCACCUCUAUAAAAAAUACAAAAAUUAACUACUCGGGAGGCUAAGGUGAGAGGAUCACUUGAACCUGGGAGGCAGAGGUUGCAAUGAGCCACGAUUGUGCCACUACACUCCAGCCUGGGUGAUACAGUGAGACUUUGUCUGAAAAAAAAAAAAGAGAGUCAAGACAUUCUGUGAGGAAACUCAAAGCACUCAAAGCAGCCAACAGCAUUUGUUGCUGAACCAGCCGUGAAAAGACGGAAAAGCUUACUCAACUCUACCUUGUAUGGCAGUUUGAGAAUCCCAGAGGCAAGUUCCCAGAAAUGUACAGAAAAAGCCAAGAGCAAUGCUUCCUAUGCAUUCUUGUUCAAUGGUGUCUUAGAGGGAUGAAUAACUAUAAAAUGGUGAUUCCAACACUUUGAAGGACCAUCUUAAAGGCAAACUACCUAAUAAAAUUCAUGUUGCAUGGUUUGGCGUUUCAGCAGAUCGCAGUCUUUCUCACCGAGUUAAC
rnacentral:lncRNA from 10 species